GAAGGGCGGCUAAUGCUAAUCUGAAAUCUCCUCUCGCCCUAUCGGUUCCGCUUCUCCUCUCCCCUCGCCAUGUCGCUUGCCGUGGCCACUCCCGCCUCCGCCCGCCUCUCCCCGCUCACCACCUCCUCCCCCGAACCCUGCCGCCGCCGCCGCCUCCUCCUCUCCGCAGCCGCCCCUCUCCGGCGCACCCGUCUCCGGCGCCGCAUCGCCGUCGUCGCGUCCGUCCCCGACCCCGCGGCGCGGCCGGCGGAGUACACGCCCUGGCUCAUCGCCGGCCUCGGCAACCCCGGCAGCAAGUACCACGGCACGCGUCACAACGUGGGGUUUGAGAUGGUCGAUCGCAUCGCGCGAGACGAGGGGAUCACCAUGAACACGAUCCAGUCCAAGUCGCUGCUCGGAAUAGGUUCGAUUGGGGAAGUGCCUGUCUUGUUGGUAAAGCCACAAUCAUAUAUCAACUACAGUGGGGAGGCAAUUGGACCUCUUGCUGCCUAUUAUCAAGUACCAUUGCGGCAUAUCCUUGUGAUGUAUGAUGAGAUGAGUCUACCCAAUGGUGUAUUGCGUCUUCAACGGAAAGGUGGUCAUGGUCGCCAUAAUGGCCUGCAGAACGUAAUGGAAUGUUUGGACAGUUCCCGUGAACUUCCUCGUUUAUCUAUAGGCAUUGGUAGCCCACCCGGCAAAAUGGACACGCGUGCUUUUCUUCUGCAGAAGUUCAGUUCAGAGGAACGGCUGCAGAUUGACACUGCUUUGGAGCAAGGGGUGGAUGCUGUGAGAACUCUUGUGUUGAAGGGUUUUAGUGGAAGUAUUGAGAGAUUCAAUCUGGUUCAGAAGUACAAGUUCCACAGUGUUUGAGAAUUAUUAAGAGGCUUGGAUAUACUUGCUGAGGACGCAUAAAUACGCAUCAUCAAUAUCAUUGGAAGUGUCGGACGUGGUACUUUGCACAAUCUACGUGGAAUGCCAUGUGGGCUAGCUCUGUCCAGCAUGCGUGAUUGUUAUCAUUUGAUGAGGCAUUUAACACACUUAUCCCACACACUUGCAGUGCUCCAUGGAGUAAGGUGCCGUGACUGCCGUCUAGGGAAGCCUUGUGCAAGCCAUACAAGGCAGUGGCAAGCUUUCUUAUCUCCUUUUUAUAGCCUUGUUUCUGAGCAUUAUUGCAGUAGCUUUGUAGAAGAUAUUUGGAUCAAAACUAUAUUUUUUCUGUUUGUAUAAUUGGAUAGUCAACUUGAUAGAUUUUAUUUUCUAGUUGCAAAUAAGGCUCUGUAUUAUAUUAGAGAAGCAAAUAUGCAUAACCAGCUAAGAGUGCCACAGGAGAACUAUACGAGAGCCAAGAGUGCAUAAUUUGUGUUUUCUUUUCCUUGAGGGUUAGAGAAUGUGUAGAUGAGGUGCUCAGUGCACUGCAAUGCAAGGUGGAGACCACUGUAGCAGAAAAAGCUAUUGACCUA